rnacentral:lncRNA from 1 species
UAGUAGGUUAGCAUUGCAUACACAUUUGACUUCUCCAAAAUACCCCUAACAAUACACUCACCACAAUAAACAUAAGGACUUUUUGGUCUUUAAUCCAAAUCCCUAAUUCCAUCUCCAUUCUCAUCCCUUUCGGUUUUCUUUCAUUUUGCUCCCCGAUCUAUACUCCAACAAACUCAAUCCUAAAUUUCUGCUCCUUUCUCCUUCGCAGUCUUCUGGAUACAAUUCCACACAACAUUCCAAGAACACAAAAAAUAUAGACAACCAAAAGAGAGGUCAAAAGUUGAUGAGUAAGAAAUCAAAUCAAAUUUUGAUUGACAAAUGAAUUUUGGCAAAAAAUUUCGAUAAAUUACAGAGUCCUAAAUAGUGCAUCGUCAUAAGAAGAGAUCUCUAACCUUCACUGCCUUCUUCCUCCGUUUUCUUAUAAGGAGUUACGUCAACGGAGAAGAACAAAAUGUUGAAUUCUUUUUUUGAUAGAAUCAAACAGUAAUUGCGGGUAUUAUCAUUACAAUAAAAAACCAAAAAAAAGUUAUGUACACCAUAAUCUCUAAGAAGUUAUGGUUGCAGAUGAGUGCUCCCUAUUGCUCGUCAGAAGUGUUGCAGAGAUAGGUUGGAGAUGAAUG